UACGUAGGGUGCAAGCGUUGUCCGGAAUUAUUGGGCGUAAAGAGCUCGUAGGCGGCUCGUCGCGUCGGCUGUGAAAACCUGGGGCUCAACCCCGGCCUGCAGCCGAUACGGGCGAGCUAGAAUUCGGUAGGGGAGACUGGAAUUCCUGGUGUAGCGGUGAAAUGCGCAGAUAUCAGGAGGAACACCGGUGGCGAAGGCGGGUCUCUGGGCCGAUAUUGACGCUGAGGAGCGAAAGCGUGGGGAGCGAACAGG
rnacentral:rRNA from 1 species